GUUUUUGGUUGGCUUGUGUGUAGUUUCAAAAGAAGAAAAGCUUUCAUUUAGGACCCACUUCUAAGACUUGCUGCUACCAAUUUUAAAUUUUGUAAUGGUGAAUUGGUCACAUAGACUGUCAGAUUAGAUGUUGAAGGAAUUUGCAAUUUCAGCCGUCCAUUUCGGUGAUGUAUGGAAUGCCAGAGACACUGGUCUGUAAACGUAGAUGUUAUCUUGUGCCUGUUCGUGAUGUGGGCAUCAAAGCCUAGUAAAACGUGAUUGCUGAUUGGUGUUCCAGAUGCCUAAAAGCCUCUUUUUACUGUUUCUUUGAUAUAAACAGGGACGUCAACAUUCCACAGAUCAGGGGCUCAUCUCCAAGGAUUCCUCGGUACAGAAUGUGAACACCUGCAUGUCUUGUUUUCUAGUUUCUACCCUCAAGCAUUCAUCUUCACUGUAGAUGGUUUGUUGCAGCUGCUAAGAUUGUGAACCUCACAGCAUUCAAGAAUCUUCCCUGUAUAUAUGGAAAACUUCUUUCUCCAUUGUUUGAUACUCUUUCUAAC